rnacentral:rRNA from 1 species
UCGCGAAAACUUCGCAAUGGGGGCAACCCCGACGAGGGAAUUCCAAGUGCUAGCACUUUGUGUUAGCUGUUCUUCUGUCUAAAAAACAGGAGGAGUAAGGGGCGGGUAAGACGGGUGCCAGCCGCCGCGGUAAUACCCGCGCCCCAAGUGGUGGUCGAUAUUAUUGAGCCUAAAACGUCCGUAGCCGGUCUUCUAAAUCCUUGGGUAAAUCGGGCAGCUUAACUGUCCGAAGUCCGGGGAGACUGGGAGACUUGGGACCGGGAGAGGUCAGAGGUACUUCUGGGGUAGGGUAAAAUCCUGUAAUCCUGGAAGGACCACCGGUGGCGAAGGCGUCUGACUAGAACGGAUCCGACGGUGAGGGACGAAGCCCUGGGGCGCAAACGGGAUUAGAUACCCCGAGU